CAACAACCUUUUGGAGAACAGACGAGCUCUGUUGAGUUUAUGACUGAAGACAGUGUGUGGGAUGACACACGUGGAGACAACGCCGUGGCGGACUUCUCUGUGCUGUUAGUGUUGGUGCGUGCUGCCUGGGAGAGCCGCUGCAGCUGUGUUUGCUCUGUGUGUGGUGUGUGCCAGAUCCGAUAACCCAGACACCAUCCCAGAUGAACAGCUCUUAUCCAAAGUGUCAAUGACAUGAAAUUUGUCACUGCAGAUGUUCAGAGAGCUGAAAUAAAGAGUUGCUGGAGUGCUGAAAGGCAGAACCUAGAACAAUACUGAAUAUGGACUGGGUCUGAGCUGCUGUACAGCUGUUGAAGGAAGUCUGAGGCACCCUGGAGAGAGACCUGGGCUUUCAGUACCCUUCUCAGGCCCCCAGCCCUCCUAGAGCAUUCCUCAGCGAGAUCUGUCAGCUUGCCAUGCACAGGUUUUGCCUUGUCCCAGAUCCUAGACCAGUGCUAAGUGGCAGCAGCAAGCCCUUACACACAUUCCUAUUGAGGACAUUCCUUAUUGUAUUUCC
rnacentral:lncRNA from 1 species